GAGAAGGCUCACUGAGCUCCAGAGAGCAAAGGCACAAGAGUGUGAGGGCUGGAGGAACAAGGAGGAAUAAAUCGAUACAACAAAAUCUAGACGGGAGCUUAUCUGCUGAGAUUGUUCGUUGAUAGAUGACGGUGGUGAAGCCCUUUACAAAAAACAAAUGGCUGCAGGUAGCUGAGCGGUGUGCAUACAGCCAAACAAUGAGGGAUAGCUUUGAUUAUGACCGCCAUCCGGGGGACCUGUGAAUGAUAUUCCAAUUUCUUCUGGAAGCAGGUCCCACAAGAGCCUGCGGAUGAGGUCUUUGAAGCCU
rnacentral:lncRNA from 1 species